rnacentral:rRNA from 1 species
AUGCAGUCGAGCGGAGAUGAGGUGCUUGCACCUUAUCUUAGCGGCGGACGGGUGAGUAAUGCUUAGGAAUCUGCCUAUUAGUGGGGGACAACAUUCCGAAAGGAAUGCUAAUACCGCAUACGCCCUACGGGGGAAAGCAGGGGAUCUUCGGACCUUGCGCUAAUAGAUGAGCCUAAGUCGGAUUAGCUAGUUGGUGGGGUAAAGGCCUACCAAGGCGACGAUCUGUAGCGGGUCUGAGAGGAUGAUCCGCCACACUGGGACUGAGACACGGCCCAGACUCCUACGGGAGGCAGCAGUGGGGAAUAUUGGACAAUGGGCGGAAGCCUGAUCCAGCCAUGCCGCGUGUGUGAAGAAGGCCUUUUGGUUGUAAAGCACUUUAAGCGAGGAGGAGGCUACUUAGAUUAAUACUCUAGGAUAGUGGACGUUACUCGCAGAAUAAGCACCGGCUAACUCUGUGCCAGCAGCCGCGGUAAUACAGAGGGUGCGAGCGUUAAUCGGAUUUACUGGGCGUAAAGCGUGCGUAGGCGGCUGAUUAAGUCGGAUGUGAAAUCCCUGAGCUUAACUUAGGAAUUGCAUUCGAUACUGGUCAGCUAGAGUAUGGGAGAGGAUGGUAGAAUUCCAGGUGUAGCGGUGAAAUGCGUAGAGAUCUGGAGGAAUACCGAUGGCGAAUGCAGCCAUCUGGCCUAAUACUGACGCUGAGGUACGAAAGCAUGGGGAGCAAACAGGAUUA